AGGAAAUAAGAAAGCCGUAGAUAAACGCUGCGGUUUUAAAGAAAAUCCACAAUUAAAAUAAAGUGUACCAUACUUUUCUUAAAACGCCAAAAAUUGAUCAAUUGGCUGAACUUAAGAAGCAUCAUAACCAAGUAAAUUCACAACUGAAAAAAGCGAAAGAACAAUGCCAUAGUAAAUAUUCUCGCGUAUUUAUACAAAUCCAAGGAAAAUUUGAUAGGAUGUAAUAAAUCUGACUGGAAAGAACGACAACUUGAAAAGCCUCCGUACCUCCUCGUUAAAUGACACCCUUGCUGAAGUUGACGCACCCCCUUAUGAAAAUGACUGUUGAAAUGUUGUUGGCAUACUGUUCAUGAAUUGUUGACUUAAUAGCCUUUCAACAAUACCUCAAUAAUUAUUGAAACCACAGAACCAUAAUUCAACAAUAAAGUUGUUGGGUAGUUCACAACAAAAAAGUCGACUAAAUUCUGUUGAUAUAUUGUUGAAUAGUAUUGACUGUUAUUGAGCCGUUGUUGAGUAGUUUCCAACAAUAAAGUCGUUGACUAAACUCUUUGAUAUAUUUUUGAAUUAUAUUGAGUAUUAUUGA
rnacentral:lncRNA from 1 species